rnacentral:rRNA from 1 species
UCCUGCGCGGAAGAUGUAACGGGGCUAAGCCAGUAACCGAAGCUGCGGAUGUGCGCGUAAGCGCACGUGGUAGGAGAGCGUUCCGUAAGCCUGUGAAGGUGGGUUGAGAAGCCUGCUGGAGGUAUCGGAAGUGCGAAUGCUGACAUGAGUAGCGAUAAAGAGGGUGAGAUGCCCUCUCGCCGAAAUCCCAAGGGUUCCUGCUUAAAGCUAAUCUGAGCAGGGUAAGCCGGCCCCUAAGACGAGCCCGAAGGGGGUAGUCGAUGGGAACCACGUUAAUAUUCGUGGGCCUGGUGGUGUGUGACGGUUUGCGUAAGUUGUCUGUCCUUAUUGGAUUGGUCAGGCUUCGAAGCAGAUCCAGGAAAUAGCCCCACCGUAUAGACCGUACCCUAAACCGACACAGGUGGGAUGGUAGAGUAUACCAAGGCGCUUGAGAGAAGUCUCCUGAAGGAACUCGGCAAAUUGCCUCCGUACCUUCGGAAGAAGGAGGCCCCACAUUUGGGCAACCAUUUGUGGGGGGCACAGGCCAGGGGGUAGCGACUGUUUAGCAAAAACACAGGGCUCUGCGAAGCAGCAAUGCGACGUAUAGGGUCUGACGCCUGCCCGGUGCCGGAAGGUUAAGAGGAGAGGUGCAAGCUUUGAAUCGAAGCCCCGGUAAACGGCGGCCGUAACAAUAACGGUCCUAAGGUAGCGAAAUUCCUUGUCAGGUAAGUUCUGACCCGCA